rnacentral:rRNA from 1 species
AUUGAACGCUGGCGGCGUGCUUAACACAUGCAAGUCGAACGCUGAAGCCCUUCGGGGUGGAUGAGUGGCGAACGGGUGAGUAACACGUGGGUAAUCUGCCCUGCACUCUGGGAUAAGCCUUGGAAACGGGGUCUAAUACCGGAUAGGACACAUCGCCGCAUGGUGUGUGUGUGGAAAGUUCCGGCGGUGCAGGUUGAGCCCGCGGCCUUUCAGCUUGUUGGUGGGGUGAUGGCCUACCAAGGCGACGACGGGUAGCCGGCCUGAGAGGGUGACCGGCCACACUGGGACUGAGACACGGCCCAGACGCCUACGGGGGGCAGCAGUGGGGAAUCUUGCGCAAUGGGCGAAAGCCUGAGGCAGCAACGCCGCGUGGGGGAUGACGGCCUUCGGGUUGUAAACCUCUUUCGACCGGGACGAAGGAUUCGUUUGACGGUACCGGUAGAAGAAGCACCGGCUAACUACGUGCCAGCCGCCGCGGUAA